rnacentral:tRNA from 1 species
ACUUAAAUAGCUUAAUAAAAAAGUUUAACAUUGAAGAUGUUAAGAUGAAGUAAAAUCUUUAAGUA